rnacentral:rRNA from 1 species
CGCCAGACUCCUACGGGAGGCAGCAGUGAGGAAUAUUGGUCAAUGGGCGAGAGCCUGAACCAGCCAAGUCGCGUGAAGGAUGACGGCCCUACGGGUUGUAAACUUCUUUUGUCAGGGAGCAAUUGGGUCCACGCGUGGGCUUAGCGAGAGUACCUGAAGAAAAAGCAUCGGCUAACUCCGUGCCAGCAGCCGCGGUAAUACGGAGGAUGCGAGCGUUAUCCGGAUUUAUUGGGUUUAAAGGGUGCGUAGGCGGAAUAUCAAGUCAGCGGUAAAAAUUCGGGGCUCAACCCCGUCGUGCCGUUGAAACUGAUGUUCUUGAGAUGUCGAGAGGUAUGCGGAAUGCGCAGUGUAGCGGUGAAAUGCUUAGAUAUUGCGCAGAACUCCGAUUGCGAAGGCAGCAUACCGGCGGCGAUCUGACGCUGAGGCACGAAAGCGUGGGUAUCGAACAGGAUUAGAUACCCGUGUA